CUAAGGCCAUACCACCCUGAACGCGCCCAAUCUCGUCUGAUCUCGGAAGCUAAGCAGGGUCAGGGCCUGGUUACUACUUGGA
rnacentral:rRNA from 1 species